UACGUAGGGUGCGAGCGUUGUCCGGAAUUAUUGGGCGUAAAGAGCUCGUAGGCGGCUUGUCGCGUCGACUGUGAAAACCCGCGGCUCAACUGUGGGCUUGCAGUCGAUACGGGCAGGCUGGAGUUCGGUAGGGGAGACUGGAAUUCCUGGUGUAGCGGUGAAAUGCGCAGAUAUCAGGAAGAACACCAAUGGCGAAAGCAGCUCUCUGGGACGGUACUGACGCUGAGACGCGAAAGCGUGGGGAGCGAACAGG
rnacentral:rRNA from 1 species